ensembl:lncRNA
CAGCCUUGUGCACCUCGUUGAGUCCGACAUGGCGCAGCACUGACUCCAACAGCGCCAAGCUGAGACACGUGGGGACCGGGCCCGGCCAGACCAUGCGCUGUGGGAUCUGGCCUGGGAAGGAGGGAUGGUCACCAGCGUCCCCAACCCUCCAGGCGUGGGCCCAGCCCUCCCGGCUUUAGGCCAAACACUGGACUCACUGUGGAUCCUCCAGAGCACAUACAGGGGUGGGCAGCUGUUGGGGUCUGGAGUCAGAAUAUCCCACAGCAGCCGCACCACACAGAGGUGGGGUCAGGGGCGAGGCCAAGGAGAGGGGGCCUGCAGGAGCAGAGGGGAGACAGGCUCACAGAGUGGGGGGCAGCACACAAGAAGUGGAGAGUGACAACCAAAGACACAGAGGGACAUUGCAGGACACAGCAUGGGAGAAACGGAAGAGGAACGUGAGCUCGUAAUAGCAAGGACUUGGUUGUCUAAUCUGCUACCCCUCCAGAGCCUGCAAGCUGCCUGGAACCCAAAAGAUGCUCAGUGAAUAACUGGUGGGAUGAACAAACAUUCAUGCACCAUUCUCUAGGCACCAGGCACUACACAUGGCGUCAGUGCUGCUGCCCUGUGAAGUCAGUGCUUAUGGCAUUUUACAGAUGACAGAACUGAGGUUCCAAGUGUCGGAGUUCAAGAACCAGAGGGGGAGGGCCGGGGAUUUAGCUCAGUGGUGCUGCCACCUGCUGCGCAAGCACAAGGACCCAAGUUCAAUCCCCGGUACCAAAAAAAAAAAAAAGAACCAGAGGGACACCAGGACAUCAGCCUCCACAGCCAGGGCUCCUUCUACACUACCAGGGGCACCCAGGACUAACCACCAAGAACGGAGUGAGAGGAGGAGGCAGGGACCACACGGGGACACUGACCUGGGGCGGGGGGGGCCCAUCACGGGAGGCCAGCACCAGGCCUGGCAGAAUGCUAGGCAGGCGCAGCCGUUGGAAAUACCACAGAAGGUUCCAGAAGAUGAUGGGGUGCGCAGCAGGCAGCUCAGGCAAGGCCAGCACCUCACUGCCCUCGUUUUCUACCAGCGACUCCAGCUCCUUCCGCAGCACCAGGGGGCUCAGGUAUGCCCAUGCCCCACUCUCGACCCGCCGGGGGGCCCUCUGUGAGGCACACAGCAGGUGGGGCAAGGGCCCCGGCCAUCUUCGGAGCAUGCCCUCCUCAGCUGUCGGCCCAACACCCUCUGGGAUGCCCCUUGCCCUCAACGCCCGCCCCUUGCCCUCAACGCCCUCCUCUUGGCCCCCACAGCUCCCCUCAAAGGGCCACCUACUCCCAUCUCGAGCCCCCUGGACCCAGCCCUUACCCCCAUGUGCCCGUUGCAGAGUUGGGGCUCAUCCAGGGCAAGGCACAGCCUGCGGUCACUGAGCACAGGGCCAGGCCCCCCAGGGACAGGAGCAUCUCUGUUGCCACCGGCACCAGUCAGGGCAGGCUUGGGGCUGGGGGCACUGUCGGGGGACAGAGAGGGCUCAGCUCGUGGACCACCACCUCCCUGCCCCAGCCACAGCAGCGCCCUGCUCAGGGCACCUGGGUCGGGAGUCAAGGGUCUGGACACUGAGCAGAGGCACAAAGGGGCAGGCGCAGAAGGGGCAUGUCGUGUUGAGGUUGGAGUCGUCAGGGGCCCAGCCAGCCAUGAUCUCUUCGUCAUACACCAGGGAGUCACAGGCAUGGCACAGGGAGCAGCUGGACAGCAGAAUCUGCAGCACAGAGACACAGCAGCCUGCCAGACACAGCGCCCAUCAGGGUGGCUACUGCCACACCCGCCCCAACCGGAGACCCUGCUCCGGGCCCAGAGUCCAGGAGCCACCUCCCUCCAGCAGCCUGCCUGGCCAUGGGUCAGCCAGGAGGGAAGAAGCAACAGAUGCCAGCAGCUGCCCCUGAGCACCUACAGGAAGCCAGGGCCCUAUAGAAAGUCUGUAUCCAAACUCUAU